rnacentral:rRNA from 1 species
UACAGAGGUCUCAAGCGUUGUUCGGAUUCAUUGGGCGUAAAGGGUGCGUAGGUGGCGCUGUAAGUCGGGUGUGAAAUUUCGAGGCUUAACCUCGAAACUGCAUUCGAUACUGCAUUGCUAGAGUAUGGGAGAGGGAAGUGGAAUUUCCGGUGUAGCGGUGAAAUGCGUAGAUAUCGGAAGGAACAUCAGUGGCGAAAGCGACUUCCUGGACCAAUACUGACGCUCAUGUGCGAAAGCGUGGGGAGCAAACAGG